GUGAGGAAUUUUCCGCAAUGGGCGAAAGCCUGACGGAGCAAUGCCGCGUGAAGGAUGAAGGCCUAUGGGUUGUAAACUUCUUUUCUCAGAAAAGAAUUAUGACGGUAUCUGAGGAAUAAGCAUCGGCUAACUCUGUGCCAGCAGCCGCGGUAAGACAGAGGAUGCAAGCGUUAUCCGGAAUGAUUGGGCGUAAAGCGUCUGUAGGUUGUUUAAAAAGUAUUCUGUCAAAGAUUAGGGCUUAACCCUAGAUAGGCAGAAUAAACUUUUAAGCUAGAGUUUGGUAGAGGCAGAGGGAAUUCCCGGGGGAGCGGUGAAAUGCGUGGAUAUCGGGAGGAACACCAAAGGCGAAGGCAGUGUGCUGGGCCAAUACUAACACUGAGAGACGAAAGCGAGGGGAGCAAAUGGGAUUAGAAACCCGGGUAGUCC
rnacentral:rRNA from 1 species